CACGCCAGUGGCAUCGCCGGGUAGCUAUGUUCGGAAGAGAUAACCGCUGAAAGCAUCUAAGCGGGAAACUCGCCUUAAGAUGAGAUAUCCCUGGGGACUAGAUCCCCUUGAAGGGUCGUUCGAGACCAGGACGUUGAUAGGUCAGGUGUGUAAGCGCAGUAAUGCGUUCAGCUAACUGAUACUAAUUGCCCGUAAGGCUUGAUCCUAUAACA
rnacentral:rRNA from 1 species